rnacentral:lncRNA from 1 species
GGCGUUGGUGUCCGCUGGCGAAGACGUCUGGGCCAAGGCACUCCGCUGACCUGGACAUUAGUCAGGCAUGGAGCUGGGAUUGAGCCCACCACAAGGCGAGUACCAGCAAAUGACACAGGCUUCUCAAAUUGCAAGUUCAUUUCAUAGGUCUGU